ACUCCUACGGGAGGCAGUAGUAGGGAAUCUUCCACAAUGGGCGCAAGCCUGAUGGAGCAACACCGCGUGAGUGAAGAAGGGUUUCGGCUCGUAAAGCUCUGUUGUUAAAAGAAGAACACGUAUGAGAGUAACUGUUCAUACGUUGACGGUAUUUAACCAGAAAGUCACGGCUAACUACGUGCCAGCAGCCGCGGUAAUACGUAGGUGGCAAGCGUUAUCCGGAUUUAUUGGGGCGUAAAGAGAGUGCAGGCGGUUUUCUAAGUCUGAUGUGAAAGCCUUCGGCUUAACCGGAGAAGUGCAUCGGAAACUGGAUAACUUGAGUGCAGAAGAGGGUAGUGGAACUCCAUGUGUAGCGGUGGAAUGCGUAGAUAUAUGGAAGAACACCAGUGGCGAAGGCGGCUACCUGGUCUGCAACUGACGCUGAGACUCGAAAGCAUGGGUAGCGAACAGGAUUAGAUACCCUGGUAGGAUAGCG
rnacentral:rRNA from 1 species